GCCAUAAUAGCUCAGUGGUAGAGCAGAGGACUGAAAAUCCUUGUGUCGCUAGUUCAAUUCUAACUUAUGGCA
rnacentral:tRNA from 1 species